AGAACGAACGCUGGCGGCAUGCCUAACACAUGCAAGUCGAACGCUUUUGGGGCUUCGGUCCCAAAGGAGUGGCGCACGGGUGAGUAGCGCGUGGGAACCUGCCCUGUUGUGGGGGAUAACCGAGGGAAACUUCGGCUAAUACCGCAUACGCCCGGGGGAAACUCCGGGGAAAGAUUUAUCGCAGCAGGAGGGGCCCGCGUCGGAUUAGGUAGUUGGUGGGGUAACGGCCCACCAAGCCUGUGAUCCGUAGCUGGUCUGAGAGGAUGAUCAGCCACACUGGGACUGAGACACGGCCCAGACUCCUACGGGAGGCAGCAGUGGGGAAUAUUGGACAAUGGGCGCAAGCCUGAUCCAGCAAUGCCGCGUGAGUGAUGAAGGCCUUCGGGUUGUAAAGCUCUUUCGCACGCGACGAUGAUGACGGUAGCGUGAGAAGAGCCCGGCUAACUUCGUGCCAGCAGCCGC
rnacentral:rRNA from 1 species